GAGAAACGUUGUUCAAUUAAGGCUGCAAACGGAGUCUCAAGCACUUUUGUGGUUUGUGGUUUUUUGUUUUAGCACCUGGCUGACGAGGCACAAGGUCUGUAUACGUUUUCUUUUAUAUUAUGUGUGUAUUAUAUUUUGAGUUGGUUUUAAUCUCAGUAAGCACCUUAUAGAGUUUCAUGUUCAUGUGAAUGUUAUGCUAGUAGCAUCACAAGGAAUAUGUAUAAUUUGAAGUUAUUACAGUUGGUUGACCUGCACAAUUAAUUAAGAAACAUUAGUUAUUAUUUUUGUUCUUGCUGACUACAUUUUGCUGUACCUCAAAUGGCAUGUUCCAAGCCAGGUUGAUGUUGUGUUUGUAUUCAUCCAUCCAUAUUUCUGCUACCCUCAGGGCGUUUCUCUUCAUGACAGAACUUAGGUCUAACUGGUAAGGCUUGUGAUUCCUCUCAAUGUGGGCGAUCUUGGAGCAUGGAACUACUUCAACACUGCCUCCGCAUGUCCACACCUUCAUGAAAAAGCCACCCAGACUGCCAGAAGAAUAAUUGUAAGGAGACGGGUCAUGGGUCGUGAGCGCUCUCUGAUCUCUGAUCUCUGCUCUGCGCUGGACUCUGCCCUGCUCCACUGUUCUGACCGUGGCUUCACUGUUCCGUUCGGGUUGCGCAUGUGCCGGUAACGGCAACAGAAGGAGCUGAUGUAUGAUCGUAGAUGUUUGGGACGCCUGUCCACCUCACUAACUUACUAAUAAAUGGAACUUAAACUUUGA